CCUGGCGGCAUGUUUAACACAUGCCAGUCGAACGGAAACGAUGGAAGCUUGCUUCCAGGCGUCGAGUGGCGAACGGGUGAGUAAUGCUUGGGAAUCUGCCCAAUAGUGGGGAACAACUCGGGGAAACUCGGGCUAAUACCGCAUAAUCUCUUCAGAGGAAAGGGGGCCUCUACAUGUAAGCUCUCGCUAAUGGAUGAGCCCAAGUCAGAUUAGCUUGUUGGUAAGGUAACGGCUUACCAAGGCUACGAUCUGUAGCUGGUCUGAGAG
rnacentral:rRNA from 1 species